rnacentral:rRNA from 1 species
GAUGAACGCUGGCGGCGUGCCUAAUACAUGCAAGUCGAGCGAACAGAUGAGGAGCUUGCUCCUCUGACGUUAGCGGCGGACGGAUGAGUAAGACGUAGAUAACCUACCACUAAGACUGGGAUAACUUCGGGAAACCGGAGCUAAUACCAGAUAAUAUAUUGAACCGCAUGGUUCAAUAGUGAAUGACGGUUUUGCUGUCACUUAUAGCUGGAUCCGCGCCGCAUUAGCUAGUUGGUAAGGUAACGGCUUACCAAGGCGACGAUGCGUAGCCGACCUGAGAGGGUGAUCAGCCACACUGGAACUGAGACACGGUCCAGACUCCUACGGGAGGCAGCAGUAGGGAAUCUUCCGCAAUGGGCGAAAGCUUGACGCAGCAACACCGCGUGAGUGAAGAAGGUCUUCGGAUCGUAAAACUCUUUUAUUAGGGAAGAACAGCUGCGGAUGUAUCCAUGGACGUCUUGACGGUACCUAAACAGAAAGCCACGGCUAACUUCGUG